UUUAAAAGUUCCACACCCACAUGCUACCUUUGCAGCUUUUCCUUGUGACAAAGCUCAGAAGGGAGUUCCAUUCCAAAGGGACAGAUCACGUUCAUUGGAGCAGGACUCCAACUGAGCAAGGUGAAUACCUCCCUCAGGAAUAAGGGGGGAAGCAUCAGUUGGGGGAUAUGAGACACCCACACCCACCCCUGCAGACUAGUCGAUCCUUCCUGGAUUUGAUGAAUCUGGUUACAUCCUGACAUUACCUGAAAGGAGCAACUUGGGAGACGUUGUUCUGCGUGUGUUCGGGCUGUAGGUUCCUUUAUGAUUGAGAGAUCCUGACUGUCCAGUAUGAGGAUGGAAACCAUGAAGAGCUUUGCAUGCUGACUAGUUCUGUGCCAUCAGGACAGCACAGCACCAUGCAUACCAUUUAGUACUGAAAGAGCAGCUAUAUGUUUUGUUUUCAUUGAAUCUUUAUUAAAAUUCAGCAAGUA